ensembl:snoRNA small nucleolar RNA U3
AAGACUAUACUUUCAGGGAUCAUUUCUAUAGUUAUCAACUUGAGAAAUGUGUUUCUAAAGUGUUUGGUCUCGCUAACCACGAUGAAGAGUUGUGAUAUUCCCUUCUGAGCGCGAAGCGGAUGGAGAAAAAUGAUUCAUUUCAUACGUUCUCUAUCAUUGAUGACCGUUCUUUGCUUCUUCUGGAGCAUAGAGGAGGGGAGUAUGAUCAGAGUGGUU